rnacentral:rRNA from 1 species
AUUGAACGCUGGCGGCAGGCCUAACACAUGCAAGUCGAGCGGAUGAGGAAAGCUUGCUUUUCGAUUCAGCGGCGGACGGGUGAGUAAUGCCUAGGAAUCUGCCUGUUAGUGGGGGAUAACUCGGGGAAACUCGGGCUAAUACCGCAUACGUCCUACGGGAGAAAGUGGGGGAUCUUCGGACCUCACGCUAACAGAUGAGCCUAGGUCGGAUUAGCUAGUAGGUGAGGUAAUGGCUCACCUAGGCGACGAUCCGUAACUGGUCUGAGAGGAUGAUCAGUCACACUGGAACUGAGAAACGGUCCAGACUCCUACGGGAGGCAGCAGUGGGGAAUAUUGGACAAUGGGCGAAAGCCUGAUCCAGCCCUGCCGCGUGUGUGAAGAAGGUCUUCGGAUUGUAAAGCACUUUAAGUUGGGAGGAAGGGUAUUCACCUAAUACGUGGGUACUUUGACGUUACCAACAGAAUAAGCACCGGCUAACUCUGUGCCAGCAGCCGCCGUAAAAC